GACAACAAGUUGAUUGGGAAAGUAGUUUCUACAAGCCUGUACAGAAAACCUGCAUUUGAUGAGAGCGGGGUAGGAUACGAGAAAUGAAAAUGGCCCAUGAUUGGCACCGCUGAAUCUUUAAGCGGUGAUGGGGUGGCAUCCAUUAUCAUUGCACACGAAUUCGGGAGACGUCCCGAGCUCGUUGAAGAGGUGUUUUAACGUAAGUUAAACACGAAGUAGAAUGGUAACACGGCGAAGCCCGUUUCUAGU
rnacentral:ncRNA from 1 species